rnacentral:rRNA from 1 species
UGGGGAAUUUUGGACAAUGGGCGAAAGCCUGAUCCAGCCAUGCCGCGUGAGUGAAGAAGGCCUUCGGGUUGUAAAGCUCUUUUAGUCGGAAAGAAAGAGUUGCAAUGAAUAAUUGUGAUUUAUGACGGUACCGACAGAAAAAGCACCGGCUAACUACGUGCCAGCAGCCGCGGUAAUACGUAGGGUGCGAGCGUUAAUCGGAAUUACUGGGCGUAAAGGGUGCGCAGGCGGUCUUUCAAGUCAGAUGUGAAAGCCCCGGGCUUAACCUGGGAAUUGCGUUUGAAACUACAAGGCUAGAGUGCAGCAGAGGGGAGUGGAAUUCCAUGUGUAGCAGUGAAAUGCGUAGAGAUGUGGAAGAACACCGAUGGCGAAGGCAGCUCCCUGGGUUGACACUGACGCUCAUGCACGAAAGCGUGGGGAGCAAACA